GACGAACGCUGGCGGCGUGCUUAAUACAUGCAAGUCGAACGGACAGGCCCUGCUCUUGUGGGGUGCUCGAGUGGCGAACGGGUGAGUAACACGCGUGUAACCUGCCCCUGUCUUUGGGAUAACACCAGGAAACUGGGGCUCAUAUCGGAUAGGAGCUCUUGCUGCAUGGUGUGGGUUGGAAAGAUUCGGCGGUUGGGGAUGGAUUCGAGGGUUAUCAGCUUGUUGGUGGGGUAGUGGCAUACGAAGGCUUUGACGGAUAGCCGGCCUGAGAGGGUGGACGGCCACAAGGGUACUACGAGACGGCGCAGACUCCAACGUGAGGCAACAGGGGAGAGUAUUGCACAGUAAGCGGAAGCCUGAUGCAACGACGCCGCGUGCGGAAUGACGGCCUACGAGUUGAAAACCGCUUUCGCCGGAAACAUGGCGUGAUUGACGGUAAUGAAUAAAAAAGCACCGGCUAACUACGUG
rnacentral:rRNA from 1 species